GUUUCUGUAGUGUAGUGGUUAUCACGUUUGCCUCAUACGCAAAAGGUCCCUGUUUCUGAGAACGGGCGGGAACA